GUGAAAAGAGAGUAAGAUGGUGCACAGAUAACAGAAGAGGAAGAAGCCAAGGGACAGAGACUGAGACAUCUUGUGUUUGUGUGGCCAGACGAAAGAGAAGCCACUUCUAGGCCCACGGACACGUCGAAUCUUGUACUUUUGUAGGUGCAGCAGGCAAUGAGAAGAUGAAGAUGAAGAUGAGCAUGAUGAUGAUUCCACUGUCAUUAUAUCUCCCC